AGAGUUUGAUCAUGGCUCAGAAUGAACGUUGGCGGCGUGGAUUAGGCAUGCAAGUCGUACGGGCCGCAAGGCCAGUGGCGCAAGGGUGAGUAAGGCGACGGUAACCAACCCCACGAUUGGGAAUAGCCGCGGGAAACCGCGGGUAAUCCCCAGCGACGUCCCCGGAGGGCAUCCCCCGGGGACCAAAGCUCCGGCGUCGUGGGACGGGCCGUCGUGGUAUUAGGUCGUUGGCGGGGUAACGGCCCACCAAGCCGGCGAUGCCUACCGGGCGUGCGAGCGUGGCCCGGCACACUGGGACUGAGGCACUGCCCAGACUCCUACGGGAGGCUGCAGUCGAGAAUCUUCGGCAAUGGGCGCAAGCCUGACCGAGCGACGCCGCGUGGAGGACGAAGGCCUUCGGGUUGUAAACUCCUGUCGAGGGGGAAGAAGGCGCAAGCUUGACUGAACCCUGGAGGAAGCACGGGCUAAGUUCGUGCCAGCAGCCGCGGUAAGACGAACCGUGCGAACGUUAUUCGGAAUCACUGGGCUUAAAGCGCGUGUAGGCGGGACGGCACGUCGGUCGCUGAAAGCCCCCGGCUCAACCGGGGAAGGGGCGCCGAGACGACCGCCCUGGAGGGACGUAGGGGGACCUGGAACUUUCCGUGGAGCGGUGAAAUGCCUUGA
rnacentral:rRNA from 1 species